AUGCGCAGAUGCCGCUAAUUUUCGCGCAUGCGCAGAUGCCGCUAAUUUUCGCGCAUGCGCAGAUGCCGCUAUUUUUCGCGCAUGCGCAGAUGCCGCUAAAAUUCGCGCAUGCGCAGAUGCCGCUAUUUUUCGCGCAUGCGCAGAUGCCGCUAAUUUUCGCGCAUGCGCAGUCGGCCGCUAAAUUUCGCGCAUGCGCAUACCACAUUAUAUUAUAUUUAAUUGGUCUUGUGGGAACACACCCCUAGGUAUACAUUAACUAAAAGUGUUGCUCGUUUCUGGCUCGGGAUGCGGCUGUGCACUUGGGCGCGUGCAAUUCCACAGACGCUGUAACUGGAUUUUAUAAAGAUAAGAGAAAAGAAUGCUUUCGCCGUGGAUUUGACAUGAAAAGCUCGGGCAGAAGAACGAGGAGCUGUACUCUCUGGGGGAAGGAGGAUUUGGCGCAGUGUUUGCAGGCUACUGACCUGAGGACCUACUGCCUGGACAACUGAAGAACCUCCCCCUGGAAGUGGCACUCAUGCACAUGGCUGGUGUUGACUCAUUCAUUGCUGGAGGGACCUCAAGCUUCUCCAUAGAGCUGCUGGACUGGUCUAAGCUUCAGGACGAGGUUGUGUUGGUGAUGGAGCCUAUGCUCCAAUGCUCUCCUUGGACCCCUUCGAUUACAUCCAGGCCAGCGGAUGCCUGCAGGAGGAAGAAGCCAAGGUACUUCUAAGGCAGCUAGUCGAAGGCGUGAUUGAGGUCCAUGCCAGAGGGGUUCUGCACUGUGACCUCAAGCCAUAGAACAUCCUGGUUCAGAUGUACAGUUUGGAACCACACCUUCAUCUUCUGUUCUUCUGGACCUUUCUCAUGAGUGGUUUACCCAUGAGGCCAAAUCCUCCACAGUGUUGCAGAUAGGAAUCAUCCUGCUGCGUGUGAGAGGUGACACCAGCACGGAGAUCACCUCAAAGAAGUCUCAGAUCAUCUCUCCACCAUCUGCUCUACGACCCCUGUAUACACCACGACACAGCCACCACAUCAGGCACACCAGUCAGGUACCAUAUAAAACAAUAAAAAUAAUAAUAAUAAUAAUAAAAAAAAUCUAUAUUUUCAAUCUCUAGUUUAGAGAGUUCUCUAGUAGAGCUGGGCGAUUCAUUGAUUUUAUCGAUUAAUUCGAAUUUACAGUUAUUUAAUGUGUGUUUUUAUGAAAAUCGAUUUUCUCUGAGUUUUCAUUUUCACCACAGACGCUCCUCUGUGGGCACAGAGUGAGCUUAGCUAGCUCCCUCCAUACCUCCCUCCUGCGCGCGUACCCCCCGCUCCUCACUCCCUCCCUCCCGUGCGCGCACAAACACAUACACAAAACACAUGACGUCGGAGCUUAAGAGCAACUAGCUCCGUGAUCUGGAGUUGGUUCGGUUUUGCGGCGUCGGACGUAGACCAAACAGGUCCUCGCUGUAAGGUGAACCAAUUUAUCACUAUACCUUAAACAGAAACAUGUAGCGGAGUGGGAGAAGUGCUGCUACCAUAGGAAUGAACGCAGCAGCAGCACUAGUUCACCGUUCAACGUUAAACAAGGAACUGUCCCUGGCACAUCUUCCAACCGUGUACCAGGUUCUGUAUGCACUACAAGUUAAGAUGUUUUGCAUAUUCAUGAGAAAAGAUCUUCUCAUUUUAUAGAACACUGGCACUUAUUUAAAAGCUUUGUUUUGCAAUUCUAGCCCAAUAGGGAAAAGUAUUUACUUAAGAGCAUAUUAAAUUGUACUUGUUUUCUAUUUUCUACUUUGUAAGUUUUAUCAAAAAAGGGCACCAUUUUAUUUAUUUCUAUUUGUUUUUAAGGGUGUGUUUAUUUAUUUAUUUUUUAAGUUUGAGGGUGCAUUGUGUCAGUACCUAAACUAUGUUGGAGAAAGCUUUCUAAAAGUUACUAGAUGUUCUCACUGUUUACAAUAGUUUUUUUUUGCUUGUUUCUGGUUGCACUUUAACCACAAACGGAACAUUUUAAGUGAAAACAAAUUAUAUAAGAACUAGUUUUUAACAAUUUCUUUAUCAUCUUUAGUUUGAUUUUUAGUAGGGGAAAAAAAUUAAAUCCAAGAUUUAAAUCGAAAAUCGUAUUUAAAAAAAAAAAAAAAAUCUAAGAGGUUUUUUUUGGGCCAUAUCACCCAGCUCUAUUCUCUAGUUUAGAGGGUUUUUUUAAUAAAACACACCUAAGGAAAAUAGCAGGUAUUAAUAAAGCUAUUGAUUUAUUAUCUUUUGAUGUUUAUUAAUUAAUUAACUGUAUUUAUCUUUAUGUAGUAUACUGUUAGUGUUUUAAUCCAUACACUUUUUGUAUAUAUUUCUUUUAUUGCUUAGUUACUUGCUUUAUUAAUGGUUAUUGUAUUGGUGUUUUAGUCUUAUUUUGGGCUUAUAUUCAUUAAAAACAUUAACGUUUGUCUUUUAGUGCUUUAAUCAAUUAAUAUUGUACUUACCUUUUACUAUUUUACUAUUAAUCUUUCUGUACUUAAUUUUUAUUUAAUUUUCUUGCAGCUUUGUAUUACAUUGUUUAUUAAUUGUAUGUCUUUAUACGGGAUUUUAUAUUUGCAUUGUAUAUAUUUUUGUUUCAUUUAAUGUUUAUGCUCUUUGUUUU